rnacentral:misc_RNA from 1 species
CCCAAUACAAGAUUCAGCAACUCGCAGGCACUCUCAAUAUCAAUGGUCUUUUGCUUGUCUUCUGUCAGGCAAUAGCGGAAUGAGUAGGUGUAGAAAUCCGAGAAAUUUGUUGGCCUCAGAACCUCUUUCUCCAAUUCUGCCAAUGCCUUCUUUAUUUUACUGAUUGAAUCAGCCCGCAGUGCUUUUAGGCCUCUUCGCCAUUCUUCCAGGGUAAAAUAUCCUUGCUUUUCAGCUUUCAUUUUCCAUGCAAGGAUUAGUAUUCUCACAUCAGUGUGAUCGACUUCCACGUCCGAACAGAAAGACUCAAUCCCUUCAGGGUCAAUCAGCCCAGAUGAUUUGUCUGCAUAUGUAUAAAAGAGCUGAUCGUAGCGGUCCAUCUCCUUGUUAACAGCUUUGCUUGCAGCGGAGGAAUUGACGGCGGGCGGAGCAGCGCUCUGACCGGGCUUCUUGGCGCGCCUCAUCCUCCUCGGCCGCGAUCGAGGAUCUGGAGCUCUGGAUCUUCUUCGCCCUCGGGAAUUGGG